ensembl:misc_RNA
UUAACAGCCCUGGAGACUGAAGCCCGCUGUUUAUACACAGAACAGGUACAGUAUGGGUAGUGGCAAUGGAAACUUCCCCACACUGCUCUGCCAAUGUGCCUCAAACCUGUCCUGGAUUGCUCUCUUUGUGGUGAGGAUGUAGUUCAGUGCCUAUGCUCGUGUAGUCCUUGGCACCU